rnacentral:rRNA from 1 species
GACGAACGCUGGCGGCGUGCUUAACACAUGCAAGUCGAACGGUAAGGCCCUGCUUUUGUGGGGUGCUCGAGUGGCGAACGGGUGAGUAACACGUGAGUAAUCUGCCCUUGACUUUGGGAUAACUUCAGGAAACUGGGGCUAAUACCGGAUAGGAGCUCCUGCUGCAUGGUGGGGGUUGGAAAGUUACGGCGGUUGGGGAUGGACUCGCGGCUUAUCAGCUUGUUGGUGGGGUAGUGGCUUACCAAGGCGUUGACGGGUAGCCGGCCUGAGAGGGUGACCGGCCACAUUGGGACUGAGAUACGGCCCAGACUCCUACGGGAGGCAGCAGUGGGGAAUAUUGCACAAUGGGCGGAAGCCUGAUGCAGCAACGCCGCGUGCGGGAUGACGGCCUUCGGGUUGUAAACCUCUUUCGCCUGUGACGAAGCGUGAGUGACGGUAAUUGGUAAAGAAGCACCGGCUAACUACGUG